rnacentral:rRNA from 1 species
UACGGAGGAUGCAAGCGUUAUCCGGAAUGAUUGGGCGUAAAGCGUCCGCAGGUGGCAAUGUAAGUCUGCUGUCAAAGCGUCUGGCUCAACCAGAUAAAGGCAGUGGAAACUACAUAGCUAGAGUAAGGUAGGGGUAGAGGGAAUUCCUGGUGUAGCGGUGAAAUGCGUAGAGAUCAGGAAGAACACCGGUGGCGAAAGCGCUCUGCUGGACCUUAGCUGACACUGAGGGACGAAAGCUAGGGGAGCGAACAGG